GGGUGUAUAGCUCAGUUGGUAGAGUAUUAGGCUUUUAACCUAGUGAUCGUAGGAUCAAGUCCUGCUAUACCCA